AUUGAACGCUGGCGGCAGGCCUAACACAUGCAAGUCGAGCGAGCGGCGGACGGGUGAGUAAUGUAUGGGGAUCUGCCCGAUAGAGGGGGAUAACUACUGGAAACGGUGGCUAAUACCGCAUACUAUCGGAUGAAACCAUAUGGGAUUAGGUCGUGGGUGGGGUAAAGGCUCACCUAGGAGACGAUCUCUAGCUGGUCUGAGAGGAUGAUCAGCCACACUGGGACUGAGACACGGCCCAGACUCCUACGGGAGGCAGCAGUGGGGAAGAUUGCACAAUGGGCGCAAGCCUGAUGCAGCCAUGCCGCGUGUGUGAAGAAGGCCUUCGGGUUUUAAAGCACUUUCAGCGAGGAGGCGUUACUCGCAGAAGAAGCACCGGCUAACUCCGUGCCAGCCGCCGCGGUAAUAC
rnacentral:rRNA from 1 species